AGAGUUUGCUUUUGGCUCAGGAUGAACGCUGGCGGCGUGCUUAACACAUGCAAGUCGAACGAAGCACCUUAUUCUGAUUUCUUCGGAAUGAAAAAUUUGGUGACUGAGUGGCGGACGGGUGAGUAACGCGUGGGUAACCUGCCUCAUACAGGGGGAUAACAGUUAGAAAUGACUGCUAAUACCGCAUAAGACCACAGCACCGCAUGGUGCAGGGGUAAAAACUCCGGUGGUAUGAGAUGGACCCGCGUCUGAUUAGGUAGUUGGUGGGGUAACGGCCUACCAAGCCAACGAUCAGUAGCCGACCUGAGAGGGUGACCGGCCACAUUGGGACUGAGACACGGCCCAAACUCCUACGGGAGGCAGCAGUGGGGAAUAUUGCACAAUGGGGGAAACCCUGAUGCAGCGACGCCGCGUGAGCGAUGAAGUAUUUCGGUAUGUAAAGCUCUAUCAGCAGGGAAGAAAAUGACGGUACCUGACUAAGAAGCACCGGCUAAAUACGUGCCAGCAGCCGCGGUAAUACGUAUGGUGCAAGCGUUAUCCGGAUUUACUGGGUGUAAAGGGAGCGUAGACGGAGUGGCAAGUCUGAUGUGAAAACCCGGGGCUCAACCCCGGGACUGCAUUGGAAACUGUCAAUCUAGAGUACCGGAGAGGUAAGCGGAAUUCCUAGUGUAGCGGUGAAAUGCGUAGAUAUUAGGAGGAACACCAGUGGCGAAGGCGGCUUACUGGACGGUAACUGACGUUGAGGCUCGAAAGCGUGGGGAGCAAACAGGAUUAGAUACCCUGGUAGUCCACGCCGUAAACGAUGACUACUAGGUGUCGGGCAGCAAAGCUGUUCGGUGCCGCAGCAAACGCAAUAAGUAGUCCACCUGGGGAGUACGUUCGCAAGAAUGAAACUCAAAGGAAUUGACGGGGACCCGCACAAGCGGUGGAGCAUGCGGUUUAAUUCGAAGCAACGCGAAGAACCUUACCUGCUCUUGACAUCUCCCUGACCGGCAAGUAAUGUUGCCUUUCCUUCGGGACAGGGAUGACAGGUGGUGCAUGGUUGUCGUCAGCUCGUGUCGUGAGAUGUUGGGUUAAGUCCCGCAACGAGCGCAACCCCUAUCUUUAGUAGCCAGCGGUUUGGCCGGGCACUCUAGAGAGACUGCCAGGGAUAACCUGGAGGAAGGUGGGGAUGACGUCAAAUCAUCAUGCCCCUUAUGAGCAGGGCUACACACGUGCUACAAUGGCGUAAACAAAGGGAGGCAGAACCGCGAGGUCGAGCAAAUCCCAAAAAUAACGUCUCAGUUCGGAUUGUAGUCUGCAACUCGACUACAUGAAGCUGGAAUCGCUAGUAAUCGCGAAUCAGAAUGUCGCGGUGAAUAAAUUCCCGGGUCUUGUACA
rnacentral:rRNA from 1 species